CAGUAGCCGCGGUAAUACGAAGGGUGCAAGCGUUGUCCGGAAUUAUUGGGCGUAAAGCGCGUGUAGGCGGCUCAGCAAGUCCGCUCUGAAAGCCCAGGGCUCAACCCUGGGAUGCGGGUGGAUACUGCUGAGCUCGAGUCCGGAAGAGGCGAGUGGAAUUCCUGGUGUAGCUGUGAAAUGCGCAGAUAUCAGGAGGAACACCAAUGGCGAAGGCAGCUCGCUGGGACGUGACUGACGCUGAGACGCGAAAGCGUGGGGAGCAAACAGGAUUAGAUACCCCUGUAGUCCCUGUCUCUUAUAA
rnacentral:rRNA from 1 species